AAAUUAGUGUCUAGUUUCGUCUCUGAUGACAUUUAUUUCGUAAAAAUCGCUGUUUUUUUCUAAAAAGGUGUUUUUGUGGUCAUUUUGGCUGUUUAUUUCGAGGGUACGGUAGGAGGUCAUCGUUCACUCGAUAACUCUUUUUAAAAUGAAAUAAAAGCGUCUUAAGAUACAUGAUAUGAAUUGAUAUUAAUAUUCGUUAAGUGGGAUUGUCGGUGGACGUUCAUUGGUGAACAGUUGUGCUGGAAUUACGAAAAUAUAUCGAUAUCGUUGAGAGUUCAUUCAUUAGGGGCCUGCUCUCAAUUUUCCUUACAACGCCUCUAGCACUGGGCAAUUGCCACCAUCUUGAAAAGCAGUGCCGCGGAUGGCUAUCGCAUCGCCACUACGCAUGAGAACACGAUGGCUGCCCUGCGCUGCAUUGAUAGUUCGUAAUAAAUUCACAUAAAAACACACCAGAAGAUCUCCGAUUUUAUUUGACGGUGUUUCGAUAACUCAGGUCAGUUUCACGGCAAAAAUAAGUGGUAGUUUUGAAAUUCGAAUGUGCAUUUAUUGAUGUAACGAUAAAGUACAUUUCCGAGAAUAAUUAGUGAAAGUUUCAGUAGGUGUCGAUUUUUGUAAAGUAGUGUAUAGGCGAUGGAUUGGCUCAGCCAUGUGCUCGUCGUGUCAGCGGGGCGCAAGCCGUCAUGGGAUGGGGGAUGUACACUACUACAAUGCACGUGAUUGAUGGUUGAACAUUCAUUCUCGUUGACAGUGUAUUAUUGAAAUAUUUGAUUGUGAUGAUGGUGUAUUGUACUAGGCCUUGCAUGCUCCCAACGUGUGGCAUAUUUCACAUUGAUACUACCAGUAUCAAUUACAAAAAAAUAGAUUGUGAGUAACAAUAGGCCUACAAACAAUGCUACAUGUCAUGAGGGUGGGAACGGGGAAGGGGGGGGGUAACUGUCUCGACGUCCCGUUAGGAAAAAAGGCUUAUCCCGUUUCCCAAUACGCAAUUUUAGCCGAAUCGUGACGCAAAACACGGCUUGUCUCGAAUCCCGCUAAAAUAAGGGUGUCUAUCCCGAAUCCCGACAGUUAUUUUCGGCCCAUCCCAGUGUCCCGAAAAUACCCGUUCUCCCCCUCAUACAUAGUAAACCAUAUUGUCACAUUGAUGUUUUCUUUCAUUACAGUUAGACUUCGAGAUCUACAUUUUCGACAAAGGCCUGGUGUAAUAUUAUUACGUACUUGAUGAAGGUUUAAUGACACGAAUGAGUACAAGUACAUUACAUUUUUCGACGAAGGCCUUCUGUAAUUUCAUACGCUUCUUACGCAACAUUCAAUAGAUUUAUUUACUGUAUUAUCAUUUCGACCAAGGCGAAUUCGACACUUCAAUUACACAAGGUUAGUAACUUUUGUUCACAAAAUCCAAAUGGAGGCAAAUACAGAACAAUCAAACUUAGUCAUUCCAGUCAGUUACUGAAGCACAGUGAAAACUGUCGGGAGCAGUGCAACUGAUGGCAUGUCAAACUUCCAGUGACUGUCCCUGUCCAUAUAUUUCAAGACAGUACAAAUCUUGUAAUCAUUUUGUUUAUGCAAUGUACGUUAUUAUGUAUCAUUUCAGCACAAUCAAACUUAGUCAUUCCAGUCAGUUACUGAAGCACAGCGAAAACUGUCUGAAUUAGUGCUGCUGAUGGCAUGUAAUUACUCUACUACCACUACCUGUGACAGUCAAUGUCCAAAUAUUUUCAAGUGUGCGAAAUUAGUACUCGUCUACUUCUUAGUGUUAUUUGAAUGCAAUGUAUGUUAUAAAAAUAUUUUUUCAACACUAUAUCAACAUUCUCAUUCCUGUCAGUUUCUGAAAAUCAGCUAAAGCAAUCGCUACCAAUGCAGCUGAUAACCGCAAUUCUUUUUGUUCCCAAUGCCCAUCCAUGACAAUAUAUUUCACGCAUGUGACAAUCAUGUAAUCAUCCUGUUUUUUGUGUUCUAUUCAUGCAAUAAAUAAAUUCAGUAUUUUCAAAUCAUUGGUGCUACAAAACUAUUCUCAUUAUAGAUUAUUCAUAUUUUAUAAAAUGCUGUCAUGUCAAAUUUUGUGUCCUAUAAAUCAUAAUGAAGUCGGCAUUUUAUAUACAACUUUUGUACUCCUCCUAAAUAAACAUACAAAUCUUGUUUUAUGUAAACUUUGUAUAUGUGACCCGUCACAGCAAAACCAGGCGCAUGUCGCUCUGAGCUUGGCAGGUUGAGACGGACUGUUCUAAUCUUUCAUUAGCGACACCAUUUCUUACCAGAGUGCCUCCUUCAUUCAUACAUCUUGUACUUUAACUCAAGAUACCCAUCUUUGAAUAUUUUUAGUAUACCAAGUACUACGAUGUCAAUGUAUUGAAGUCAUGUUCUUGUAGUGUUAUUGGCUUUCUAUUAUCUUGUCAAAAUACCACUUGGUUCUCGCAAAAUCUCAAUAAAAACAAAUGCUAUUGCAUGUAUUGCAUAUUCUAACAGCUAUCCACUGUAUCGAUUUAUCCAUCAUCUGUACUAUUUGUCACAAAAAUGUUAUAUUAUGUAAAUCAUAUUUCAUUACAUAAUGCACACUGCCAAUUACUGCUGAACCAUUCAUAUGUCAUUUAAAUAAAUAAUUU